AUCUGAGGUUAAUUCCUGAGCAGUUCAUUGCUCCAAAACCAAAACUUUCCUGCAAACCUACAAUUUCCCACUCCUCCUGCCUUUCCCUGAUUGCCACCUGCAAAAUAAGAAUUUCACAUCACUCUACGCUGAGAGGGAUCCUCUUGUGCAGUGAGUAGAGGAAUGAGAAUGGUGAUGAGCAGCACAGCCAGACCAGUAUCCAGCAAGAGAGAUUGGGGUGGAAGUAGGUUUUACAGCUGUCAAGCAAGGUAAGCACCAAGAAUUAAUUGCGUGAAAAAAUCAUGUUUACAUAAUGGGGAGAUGUACUUUUUAAAUAGCUUUUUCUUUGUUGUUGUUUUUGGCAUUUCAAUAUGCAGUUAAUUCAGCGUUAAAAGACCCCAAACACUCCACAAACAUUUCCAUGGCAUGCAGAGCUGGCGUUUUGAUCCAUGUGGGAGGGGAAAAUCUCUCCUGAAAUGCAGCGUGUGAACACGAGAUGGCACUUGGAUCGCAUGGAUGGAGCAGAGCCCAUCGGGGGACAACGGGAGCACUUUAUUUAUAGAUCUUCAUUGAAAAGCAGGAGAAGCGGAACGAAGAUAAGGUAGGAUCAGCCUACACCACAUCUAGAAGCACUCAGUGCUGUGGCAGGACAUACAAGAGGAUGCUGGGGCCGUGCUCCUGCAGCCUGAGCCCAGCCAGUCCCGUCACAGCCGGAGGGUCCCUGUCAGCAUGGGUUGGAGCCCUUGGACUUGCAGUUGUUCAAAGCACCGGGGAAGAUUUACAAGGAAAAUCACAACAGUUUUCUCCAGAAGGGCAGUGCAGCUGGUGGAAAUGGGCUUUGUUAUAUGUGAAAAUGCUGAGCUGGCUUCCGGAGGGAGCAGGAGCUUGUCUACUCACAAAGUGAGCGUUGCACAAACUUGCACCUGUAUUUGCUGCAAAGGAGGCAAUCAGAUCCUCACUAGAAGCAUAAACUACUAUGCAAAGGAUAAAGUAAAAGCCCAAGGAAAGACUGCAAAGAAAAGUCUCCCAGGACUACAUCCUUAGACAACAUCGGUGAAUAUAGCUCUGUGCGUGCUGGUGAGAGUUUGCUCAGUGGACUUACUGACAGAAUGGAAAUUUUGGAGUUCACAGACACAUUGAUUCAGUCUGUUCCCUAUAACACCUGCAGACAAUGGUGGGGUAAAACUGCUCUCUGUGCUAACUAAUACAGAAGGAUCCAGCUGGAAGGUUUAUGAGCAGUGAACUGGCAUUUCUGUGUGGUGGAGCUCGUCCAUCACAGCCGAGUGGGAGCCAACUCAGCUCAUUAGAGCUGGCAAUGGGUGCUGCACGUGGAGGAGUGACAGCCCUGCGCUGGGGAGGCAGCAGCGGAGUUUUCGUUUGGGUGCUUGAGCAGAAGGAGAUGGAGGCUGGGAGCUGUUGGCAAGAAGAACAAGUUAACUGCAUGGGUAGUGAGCAUGGCAGAGCACUACAGGGUUGAUCAACGUCUCCUUGACUUUGCCUGGUGAUGAUUUCAAGUCUUGUCUGUGGCAUCAACUUUCCCCUCACAAAACAUAAACUGUGAGCAACUACAAAUGAGGAAAGUGCUCCAGGAUGCCCUUUGGUGUCACAGAAUGGCUCUGUGGAGGAGAUGAGCUCAGCAGCACGAACAGCCUUGGAAGCUACAUUUGGCUGCUUGGGUUUGCCUGGGUGUUCCUGCUCAUGCCAACUUUUGCAAGAAAAACUCCAGUGAAAGUAGCUUUCCUGAGACUGCAGAUGAUGCUUGGAAGCUCCUGGGCUGU